rnacentral:rRNA from 1 species
GUACGGAGUGAGCGUUGCCCGGAUUUAUUGGGCGUAAAGGGCGCGUAAGCGGUCACGCACGUCCGUUGUGAAAUCGCUCGGCUCAACUGGGCGGGGUCAGCGGAUACGGCGUGGCUGGAGCAAGCUAGGGGGCAAUGGAAUUCCCGGUGUAGUGGUGGAAUGCGUAGAUAUCGGGAGGAACACCAGUGGCGAAGGCGGUUGCCUGGAGCUUUGCUGACGCUGAUGCGCGAAAGCGUGGGGAGCGAUCCGGAUUAGAUACCCGGGUAGUCCACGCCGUAAACGAUGCGGACUAGGUGUCGGGGGUAUCGACCCCCUCGGCGCCGCAGCUAACGCAUUAAGUCCGCCGCCUGGGGACUACGGCCGCAAGGCUA